UGAACGUCUGUGAAACUAUGAUGGCCACC
rnacentral:sRNA from 1 species